GAACAUAAAAACAUCACUCAUCUACUCAGAGAACCCCACCUAAGCACUGUCCCCAGAGGCUCAAAGUUUCAAGAUAAAGUGAAACAGGGGCAGAGCUUUCGAAGCCAAACCCAGCCUUUGCACAUGGGAGGAAGUCAAAAAGCUGACACCCUCUAGACACAAACACUGCUUCUGCUCCGCCCUUUAAUGUAGAAAUUAGCAACUGGCUCUCUCCGUGGUGGUGCCUCCUCCCUGCCUCAGUGGGAACCAGCAAACUCUUGCUGGGGGAGCACUGGAGAGAGAGUCUGCUAAGCUUUAAGAGAGGCAGCAAGGUAAAAACAGCUCCCUUUGGACGUUCCCCAUGUGGAAAAAGGCCAAGACUGGAACCGCCGUCAGGACAAGGCGUAUCCAAGGCUGCUGCCCUGGUCUGUGUGGCUAAGUUGGGUGUAGGAAUGCCUGCCUUCCAGCUGUCAGAGAGAGGGAAGAAGCACGGAGGAUUUUAAGGACAAGACCCUCACGUGGUAUCGGAGAGCUGUGAGAACCAUUUGGUCCAGAUGACUGGGAAUUCCGGAAAGAGGAGAGGUCUUCUGGAGGAAGCUGAUCAUCAUUUGCUGUUUGCUUCCAUAGUGUAUGUGCUGAUUCUAGGCACUGAGGGACCAUCAGGCUUAGCCUACACAGUGAGACUCUGCUGGAGGAGGGAGAACCCAAAGAGCUUCUAUGCCUGCUCAGAUGGACAUUUGAAGAGCUACAAUGUGGCUGGUUUCACCAAGAGCUACCUGUUGAGUUCUGGGCUUGCGGAAAGGAAGCUGCGAGGCUUUCUUUCAUCUUCCCUGUAGGAGGUUUUGUGUGAGAAGGAGCACUGCCUUGCCUUUGCACUUUAAGGCUUAAGCAUUUGAGAAUUUCUCUUAUAUUCUCAAGUAUAAUAAUAUUACAUCAGAUUUUAAAACAAGACUUUAACAUUUUUGUUAAUGUUCUAAGAAUGUUCCAUGCUCAUGGCUGUAUAAGCAUCACUGAACUCAGCAUUCUGCUCCUGUCCCCUUCACUGUUAGAUUAACUCUCAUCUGUAAACUCUGCCAUAAUUACAACAAUGGCAGAUUGACAGACACCCUCUGUGAGUAUAAAAGGAAAAUUAAAGCACAAAGAAAACAUGUGGUAAAGAGGAAAGGGUUUGGCUGAGAAAUGGGUGCUAAAUUCUCCAAAUUAAAGCUCAUUGAACAUAAAAGUUAGAAUUAUAUGCUGAGUUGGAAAGGGUCUCCAGAGGUCGUCUGGUCCAGGCUCUGACCUGUAGGCAGCAGCGCACAUUAAAAUCACUCAAGACUAAGAGUUAACCGUAUUCUGUGUAGCACUUAUUUUUUCUCUUGAAAAAUUGAACAAACAGUAGGGAAAAGAAAAGCCCAAUUAAUUCUUAAUUCAAAGCUUUUUCUAAUUUGUGGUUCUGAAAUAUUUUGGAGAAGAUCUUAAAAUUCCAAAUCCCUGCCAGACUGAAAGCAGAUAUUCCAAAAUAAAUAUUUCACUGCUUGCUCUGCCAGUGUGAUAUGAGGCAAUAAUUCCUUUAUUACCACAAAAGCCUAGUGAAGUCUUUGGAAACAGGAUCAAACUAGCAAUUCUGCUUUUCUGAGACUGUUGGGGGACAGUCUGUUCUUUAAUUUUCCCAGGGGUUAUGAAGCGCACAAUCCAACCAAAAUGCUAAAAAAAAAUGUUAAUUAUACUUGUUAAAAUAACUCACAUACUUCAUAAAAGUGUAUUGCUUUUUUCUUAAAUCGUAUUGAUUUACAUAUAAUUAAAAUUAUGAGAGCCUUUAAAUUUUGUGCACUAUUUGCUCCAGCAACUCAAUUUCCGCUUCUAAAAGUUUAUCCUGAGGAAAUAAUCAUAGAUGUGCGCGAACCCUUAUGAACAAAUGUUCAUCACGUUAUUUCUAGUAGCCAAAAUUGGAAACCACUAAUAUCUAACAAUAGAAAAGUGGUUAUUAGUACAUCUGUACAACAAAAUGUCACAUAGCCAUCAAAGUUACGUCAUAGAGUAUCCAAUGUCAUGGGAAAAAUGUCUGCAACAUGUAUCACUGUGAAAAAUAUCCAAGCGUAUAUAGUAUAACCCCAUUUUUCAUUUCUGUGGCAUCGGUUGUGAUUUCUCUUUUUUCAUUUCAUAUUUUAUUUGGGUCUUCUCUGUUUUCUUCUCGGUG